GUGCGCCGCACGUAAGUCUGUCAGGACGCGGGGGCGGAGCCGCUGGAGCCGGAGCCGCAGGAGCCGGUUUGGGGUCACUCAUUCUGGUGAAGGCAGAUGCCAUGUCAUUGAAGACAUCCAAGCAGCUUCACAGAGAGGUCCACAAGGGACCAGUGACAACUCCUACCUGAAUGACAGAUACAUUUGAGAACUGCUGCUAACUUCUUAAAUCCCUUCCUACUCUCAGAUAAGGAAAACAGUAAAGAAGGCUUGGAACGUCAUAUAUGAAUCUGAGUUAUUUCUGCCAUUUGGAUGUAGCACACUGGAAUUGCU